UACGUAGGGGGCAAGCGUUGUCCGGAAUCAUUGGGCGUAAAGCGCGCGUAGGCGGCCAGAUAAGUCCGGUGUGAAAGUCACAGGCUCAACCUGUGAAUGCCGCUGGAAACUGUCUGGCUAGAGUCCGGAAGGGGCGAGUGGAAUUCCUGGUGUAGCGGUGAAAUGCGCAGAUAUCAGGAAGAACACCGAUGGCGAAGGCAGCUCUCUGGGACGGUACUGACGCUGAGACGCGAAAGCGUGGGGAGCGAACAGG
rnacentral:rRNA from 1 species